rnacentral:rRNA from 1 species
CACGUAGGGCGCAAGCGUUGUCCGGAAUUAUUGGGCGUAAAGAGCUCGUAGGCGGUCUGUUGCGUCCGCUGUGAAAACUCGGGGCUUAACCCCGAGCCUGCAGUGGAUACGGGCAGACUAGAGGUAGGUAGGGGAGAAUGGAAUUCCCGGUGUAGCGGUGAAAUGCGUAGAUAUCUGUAGGAACACCCGUGGCGAAGGCGGCUCGCUGGACUGCAACUGACGCUGAGGAACGAAAGCUAGGGGAGCAAACAGG